AUCACGUAUUCCAGAGUAGCCAGGAGAAGGCAGAGAAGCCUGCACAGAAGAAAUCGGCCAGAGAAACCAACGCUCAAGGCCAGCUUCUCCUUGCCCACUUCCCCAGAGCUCCACUUGUAGGCACAAGUCACAGCAGCCACCCAGCUUCGCUGACUCCACCUCAGCCCCACCGGGACGCAGAGGAAGCAGCCAAACCCAGGAGAGGGGCUGCAGCCUCAUUCCACCCCGGCUCCCACGCAAUCCCUAAGGACACCAGUUACACCUGAGGCGCUGCUUACCGACCUCCCUCCUCACCCACAGCCCCAGCGCGUUCCGACGGCCAAGGAACUGCGUCCCGUGAGAGCAGGAAAGCACCACAAUAAAAUAAAAGUUCGCUAUCAAGUAACCUUUACAUUUUAGAUACUGCUGGGAUUUGUCAGGAUCACAAGGUUAUUUUUAAGGAUAGUCUCGCUGAUACUUUGUGAGGUAAGGAAGUUUACAUUGCAGUUUUAUAAAUGCUACACUUAUGAUCAUCAUGUUUAUGAACAGCAUGACACACUUAGGGCCUGAUCUUGGAGCCUUUACAGAAGGAGCUAAAUUUAUUCUAAAUAUCUCGAUAGUCAAGAAUCAAAAGAAAAUAAAAAGUCUACAGAGAGUCAUAAGAGGUCAGAUAGUCUUAUUCCGUGACCCAAAGGCAAGAUACAUAAAUUUUGGCAUGUAAUUUUCUUAAGAUUGCAAUAUCAUUAUGGCUGUUUAUUUAAAAGAUUAUCAUAAGAAAAAAAUCCACAACAUUUACCUUAAGUAACACUUACUGCAGUUUAAGCAUAUUAAUUAGUUGCAUACUGGACAUAGCAAUCAGAUUAUUUUUUUCCUUUUUGCAUCAAUCUGCUAAAUAUUUAAAAAAAAAAAAUAAAAUACC